rnacentral:lncRNA from 1 species
UUGACAUGGACUAAACCAAACUGCUAAGUAACCCAAUUUAGGACCCAAUCUUCCAGAUUGGCCAAGUAAGUGGAAAUCAGUGGGGGUCCCCCCAUUACUUUUUUUAGACAUAAAUAAAUUAGUCAAGUAAGCGAAUAGAAUCAAUUAAAUAACCACAUCUCAUUAACUUGCUUUAGACACCAAUAGGUCAAUUGGUACAAACAGAUUAACUCUAGCGAAUCAGGC